AUACGGAGGAUCCGAGCGUUAUCCGGAUUUAUUGGGUUUAAAGGGUGCGCAGGCGGCCAUUUAAGUCAGCGGUUAAAUCGUGGGGCUCAACCCCAUUCUGCCGUUGAUACUGGGUGGCUUGAUUGCGGUCGAGGUUGGCGGAAUUCGUUGUGUAGCGGUGAAAUGCAUAGAUAUGACGAAGAACACCGAUUGCGUAGGCAGCUGGCCAGACCGCAAAUGACGCUCAUGCACGAAAGUGCGGGGAUCGAACAGGAUUAGAGACCCUGGUAGUCCGCACAGUAAACGAUGAAUACUUGUUUUCGGCGAUAUAAUGUCGGAGGCAAAGCGAAAGCGAUAAGUAUUCCACCUGGGGAGUACGCCGGCAACGGUGAAACUCAAAUGAAUUGACGGGG
rnacentral:rRNA from 1 species